GCGCGAGAGAGAGGAGAGGAGAGAGAGAGAGAGAGAGAGAGAGAGAGAGAGAGGACUGAGACCUGAUCAAAACAAACCACAAGAGGAGGAGACUUAUUGCCACCAUAUUAUUGAUGUUUUCACGUGCCAACUUUAAGUUAAUCAUUGCUAUUCAGGUAUUAGUUUCUUGGUGAACGUGUAUAUUGUUUAUGACACUAUUUUGAAGCAGUCAAGUUAUUUCCUUAUGGCAGUUGUUAGGACAGGCAGGGUAUAUAGAGAGGACUGAGACCUGAGCAAAAUAAACCACAAGAAGAGAAACACAGUCAAGACAAACAACCAAGACAACAAGAAUCCAGCAUUAUCAUCAAUUUUCUUCCAGUCUAAGAAUGAAGACAGCGGCGCUUCUGCUAGCCUUAGUCUUCUGUCACCUGUCAGUGGCUCAGCUUCAGGACUCUGACGAGAUCAGAGUGAAUGACAUCACUCAGCAGCUAGACUACCAGGGAAGAGAGAGCAGAGCCAAAGAGAUUCCUGCAGAGGAACAGGCAGUCGAGGCAGAAGCCACGGUGGACAGCCAACAAACCUGCUAGUCCAGCAUCUCUUGUGUGCUGAGAGAGAUGCGAGCUGCAACGGCAGAGCAGAAAGCAGAGCAGAAAGCAGAGCAGAAAGCAGAGCAUAAAGCAGAGCUGACAGCAGAGCUGACAGCAGUGGGAGCUAAACUGAGAGUCAGGUGGAGGAACUAAUCAGAGACCUUCAAGGAAUCUUCACAGCACCGGUCAGGGGAGUCUACUACUUCAGCUUCUCAGGUCACAACACUUCUUCCAGACCCCUGGGGCUUCGACUGAUGAACAACGGAGAACAGAUGAUUACUGUGUACAACCACGUCUCUGGAAACCGAUAUGAGACCGCAACCAAUGGCAUCUCGCUGCAGCUGAAUGUAGGAGAGCAUGUUUACAUGCAACUUGGGGCCAAUACAUGGAUCUUUGACAAUAGCAAUAACCACAGCACAUUCAUUGGUCAUUUGCUCUUCCGUCUGUGAGGAGAAGGAAGCUCAUUGGUUGAUUUCCAGUCAUGUAAUUGUUCUCAGUAAAGUAGUUCUAAAACCAAUGUUUAGGGCAUAUUGGUUAAUCAAUGCGGUGAUCAUAUAUGAACACUAUUAAAGUUGUGAAUAUUUAGAGUGGUAAUACAGGUGUACAUAUUAAGCUCAUUCUUGUGUAAUAUAUUUUAUAUGAAACUUGCUGAUUUAAUCCUUUUGUCUCUUAAUAAAAACCUUAACUGUAUAUAUUUAUCCAGAGUGGUGCUGAAAUUAGUCAGCUACACUUUUUAUUACACAACGCUAACUGUAAAACACUUUGGGCUACAAUGUGUUGUACGAGAAAUGCUAUGCAAAUAAAGUGUAUUAUUAUUAUGA